rnacentral:rRNA from 1 species
UACGGGGGGGGUAAGCGUUGUUCGGAAUUACUGGGCGUAAAGGGCUCGUAGGCGGCCAACUAAGUCAUACGUGAAAUCCCUCAGCUUAACUGGGGAACUGCGUGUGAUACUGGAUGGCUUGGAUUUGGGAGAGGGAUGCGGAAUUCCAGGUGUAGCGGUGAAAUGCGUAGAUAUCGGGAGGAACACCAGUGGCGAAGGCGGCGAUCUGGGAAGAUACUGACGCUGAGGUGCGAAAGCGUGGGGAGCAAACAGG